AUGGGCUGUGCCUGCCCGCCACUGCCUGCAGCCACCGAGGAGGUGGUGGGACGGGGCCAGGGCCAGGGCUAUGAGAAGAGAACUCUGCUCUGUUACCAGAAGAGAGGAGAGGACGAAAACACUGAAAAACCAUCUUCAGAAAGGCCAGCAGGACGCAGAAGGGUUGGUGACAGAAAGAGAUCCAGUCCCAAAGACCUUCGCUCUGCACAGCACCAGGAGAAACCGCCAUUCUGGUCUUCUGCCCAUCCCCAAAUGCUGCCAUGCCGUGCAGGGCACAUGGGUGUUAGCCCAGACACCACCUAUUUGCCUCUGGGAAACACCGCGUCUGUAUCUGGCUGCAGGCCAGGACUGGAUUCUGCUUUCGUCACCAAUUUCCUCCACGAGCAUCAGCCAGUGACUCGUGCUUUGGAUGUCUCACUUUACGCAGAGAUGUGA
rnacentral:lncRNA from 1 species